UACGUAGGGUGCAAGCGUUAAUCGGAAUUACUGGGCGUAAAGCGUGCGCAGGCGGUUAUGUAAGACAGGUGUGAAAUCCCCGGGCUUAACCUGGGAACUGCAUUUGUGACUGCAUAGCUAGAGUACGGCAGAGGGGGAUGGAAUUCCGCGUGUAGCAGUGAAAUGCGUAGAUAUGCGGAGGAACACCGAUGGCGAAGGCAAUCCCCUGGGCCUGUACUGACGCUCAUGCACGAAAGCGUGGGAGCAAACAGG
rnacentral:rRNA from 1 species